rnacentral:lncRNA from 1 species
ACACCACCACGCCGUACGCUGCGUUAGCGGAAGUUUAAUGGCCCCAUUGGUGGGAUGCGUGGCCAAUAAAGGGCAAGAAUAAGGCGGAUUCCGCCUUCCUCGUGGCUGACUGGAUGCAUCCGCUGGUACUGAUUUACGUGAGUUUCAGCAUUUAGACGUUCCGAGUUUCCACCGAGCCAGAGUUGGGUAGAGAGUUAUUAAGAUGACUAGGAGACUAAUGCGGGGAGAAAUAAUUUAGUAGUUAGACUCAGGCCCUGAAACUACCACUCGUGUUCAGAAAGUCUACGUAAUACCUUAUUGUUUUCACGCGAAGAAACCAGCCCUUCAGGCCGGGCUGAAUGUGGUUUAGGGAUUCUCUGGCUGUCAUUGGGUGAAAAAGCGAUCAGUUUGAAGGUAGCUCCGCCUGGGCUCUAGGGAACUCUGGGAUUUGUAGUCCGGAACUUUCGAGUCCUGUAGCUUUAAAUGUGGUUGUUGCUACUGAGUUCUUUCAUGUUGUUAAUAACACCCAUUGACAUUUAUUGUGGUUUGUUGGACUUUUUAUCCUUUCGUUUAUCAGCAGCAUUAAAGACAACAUUUAAGAAAUGUGUAAACACUGCAUGUAUGUUCGUAAACAAUAAAUGUUAGUGUUUCCAACAAUUUACUGCUGUGCCUAGCUGUAUACUAUAUGUUCAUGCUUACUGUACUAAGUAGAUACUAAAAUUAUUUGUUUCUAAAACUUUUGCUGUUACAACAAAACAGUCUGAUUUUCAUAUUAGUGUCCAUUUACGAUUAUUUGAACCCUACAUUUAGCAAUUAUGUGUACUGUGAUGGCAUAGGUAGCAGCUGCUUACAUGAAUCAAGUGUUGUUAUGACAUGAAGCAGAACUGGCUGCUAUCUUCACAGGAAAAUAGGGCUAUGCUUAAAAUGUCAAGCAAGACCACCAUCAGGAGGAAUACACAUUGUAUAUUAUUAAAGACUGUAUUAUAGUGUCUAUUUUCAGCCUUUAUUAAAACAGUUUUAGGACAGGCUUUUCCUGAGUCUAUAGAAUCCUGAACUCUUCUGUGAGCUAAUUUAGCGGUAUUUCAUUUUUGUGUCUAGCAAAAGUAAAACCAUUAAUAAAUACCAAAAACUUGCUGAGUAGACUUUUCGCUUUCGAAAAAUUUUAAUAUUUUUUUCCUAUUUUACAUGUAAUACAAACUUUCGACUGUAGAAGAAAAAAACAUGAUUUCGGAUGUAUGUAAUACUUCUACACUUCUAGAUUAAAAUUAAGUACACUUUACAGAAUUAAAGCUAAGCAAAAACUGCGUUCAUUACUGAUGCUUGUAAUUAUUGCAUUUUUGUUUAAAAUAUCGAAUUAUUUUUGUCAUUUUUGUAUCUUAUUUCUAAAUGAUUAGAGAAGGUUUCAGGUUGUUUGUAAAGGAAACAUUACCGAUUUAGCUCUUUGUUUUGUUUUGUUUUGGAGACAGGGUCUCGCUCUGUCAUCCAGGCUGGAGUGCACUGGCAGGAGGUGGGAUCAUGGUUCACUGCAGCCUCGACGUCCUGGGCUCAAGUGAGCCUGCCACCUCAGCCUCCUGAAUUGCUGAGACUACUGGCACACGCCACCAAGCCCAGAUUUUUUUUUUUUUUUUUUUUUUUUGAGAUGGAGUCUCGCUCUGUCGCCCAGGCUGGAGUGCAGUGGCGCGAUCUCAGCUCACUACAACCUCCGCCUCCCGGGUUCAAGAGAUUCUCCUGCCUCAGCCUCCCAAGUAGCUGGGACUACAGGCACAUGCCACCAUGCCCGGCUAAUCUUUUGUAUUUUUAGUAGAGACGGGGUUUCACUGUGUUAGCCAGGAUGGUCUCAAACUCCUGAGCUUGUGAUCCACCUGCCUCGGCCUCCCAAAGUGCUAGGAUUACAGGCGUGAGCCACUGCGCCCGGCCAUAUUUUUUGUGUAGACAGAGAUUCGCUAUGUUGCCCAGGCUGGUCUCGAACUCCUGAGUUCAAACGAGGCUCCUGCCUCGGCUUCCCAAAGUGCUGGGAUUACAAGCUUAUGCUCGUUUUUAUUCCCAAUAAAUGAAGAGCGAAAUUGGGUGUAAAUCAUCGAUAUAUUUAUCCUUGUAAUAUUCUAUGUGAUGUAGUAGGUGAAACAUAUGGAUGGGUGAAGAUGACUCUGGCAAAAAUGCAGAAUUAUAUUUUUAAUGCUUUUCAUUAGCUAGCAUUUUAAUGGUAUUUUCCUUUUGCCUCUUAUUUUAAAUCAGUAGUUCAUUUAACAUGUUAAUUAAAUGUCAUAUAACUAAGAAUAAACACCAUUAAAAACUGAAUCAAGGCUACUGUGGUUAGCGCUGUUUAGCUGAAUGAUAGAUCAGCUGAGUGACUAAACUGUGGCCACAUUUGGCUGAUUUAAAUUCUAAGUGUUCUCUCAGCACUUUUGGAAGCUUCUAAAAUGUUUCAUUUGUUUAUUUUUGAGACAGAGUCUCCCUCUGUCACCCAGGCUGGAGUGCAGUGGCACAAUCUCGGCUUAUUGCAACCUCCACCUCCCAGGUUCAAGCAAUUCUCAUGCUUCAGCCUCCCGAAUAGCAGGGAUUACAGGCGCGUGCCACCACACCCAGCUAAUUUUUUCUAUUUUCAGCAGACACUGGGUUUUGCUAUGUUGGCCAGGCUGGUCUUGAGCUCCUGGCCUCAAGAGAUCCACCUGUCUUGGCCUCCCAAAGUGCUGGGAUUACAGGUGUGAACCACUGAGCCGGCCAAAAUGUUCUAUUUUAAAGAAAAAAAUUAUUAUUUUGAGAAUUUAAAAAACAUAUUUAAACAGGCACCAUUACUACCUUUAACAGUGUGAACCUGUGAAUCAUCUUUGUACUCUGUUGGGAAAUAGUUUAAGAAGUGAACUCAGGCUGGGUAUGGUAGUGCACACCUGUAAUCCCAGCAGUUUGGGAGGCUGAAAUGGGAGGAUUGCUUCAGCCCAGGAGACAGAGGUUACAAUGAAUCAUCAUCUCAACACUGCACUCCAGCCUGGAUGACAGAGUGAGACCCUGUCUAAAACAAAACUAAACAAAAAAAAGAACCAAGUAAACUCAAAGUGAGAUGAAUGAAACGACUCUUGAGAUGCAGGAAGAGAAUAUUAGAACCCUUAUUUGUAUGUCCUUUUUAUUCUCAACAUUUUUCUUUACAUUUCUGUGUUUUUAAAUUUUUUACAUAUAACAAUAUAAGCUUUUUUAAAAAUCUUUUUUUGUUUGUUUGUUUUUUGUUUUGUUUUGAGACAGAGUUUCGCUGUUGUUGCCAAGGCUGGAGUGCAGUGGUGUGAUCUGGCUCACCACAACCUCUGCCUCCCGGAUUCAAGCGAUUCUCCUGCCUCAGCCUCCCCAGUAGCUGGGAUUACAGGCAUUCACCACUAUGCCUGGCUAAUUGUAUUUUGAGUAGAGAUGGAGUUUCUCUAUGUUGGUCAGGCUGGUCUCGAAGUCCCGAUCUCAGGUGAGCCACCAUGCCUGGCCCUUUUUUUUUUUCUUUAAUAGGGGCAGGGUCUCACUAUGUUGGCCAGGCUGGUCUCAAACUCCUGGCCUCAAGUGGAUCCUUCCACCUCGGCCUCCAAAGAGCCAAGAUUACAGACAUGAGCCACUAAGCCUGGCCAUUUUUGCAAUGUAUAUGUAAAAAUAUAUAUGUAUUGAGUAAGUGGUAAAAUUUUUUUGAGAAAUAUGUGAUCAAAACCAUAUUUGGAGUUGGGACAUGACAACUGCAAUUUGAAGAUCUUGUGGGGAGAGAAGUCAAAGAAAAAAACACAAAUGUUUUAGUUAGUAUCUAAUAUGAAAGAAUGGUAUUGGCCAGUUAGCUCAGGUGGUUAGAACUGUGAAAAGAAAAUAAUCUCAGGACCCCAAAAUCACUAAGCCAAAAGGAAAAGUCAAGCUGGGAACUGUGUCGGGCAAACCUGCCUCCCAUUCUAUUCCUCAAUGAGAUAGCUGCAAGGAUAAAACAACUGCUUACCUCCUUCAUCACAAUUUGCCACAAGGAAAUUCCUUGUGGACUUCCUCCCUACUUCAAGUUAUUCCACCUUUCCAGACUGAACCAAUGUACAUUACAUAUAUUAAUUGAUGUCUCGUCUCCCUAAAAUGUAUACAACCCAGCUGUGCCCUGAACACCUUGGGCACAUGUCCUCAGGACCUCUGGAGGCUGCCGUGGGCACAUCCUUGACCUUGGCAAAGUAAACUUCCUAAAUUGAUGAGGCUUGUCUCAGAUACUCUUUGGUUUGCAGAAUGUAUUGCUGAUAUGAAGGAAAACUUGAGUUCUUAUAUCUAAAGUAGAAAAAAAAAUAGGCUGAAUGCUAUUCUUUAAUUUGUCACUUAAGAGCUACUUAGAAAAAAAAAAAAAACUUUUUAUCUGAAGAAUGCAAGCCCUGGCCGGGCAUGAUGGCUCACGCCUGUAAUCCCAGCACUUUGGGAGGCCGAGGUGGGUGGAUCAUGAGGUCAGCAGUUCGAGACCAGCCUGACCAACAUGGUGAAAUCCUGUCUGUACUAAAAAUACAAAAAUUAGCCAGGUGUGGUGGCGGGUGCCUGUAUUCCCAGCUACUGGGGAGGCUGAGGCAGGAGAAUCGCUUGAACUUGGGAGGCAGAGGUUGCAGUAAGCCAAGACUGUGCCAUUGCACUCCAGCCUGGGCAACAGAGUGAGACUCUGUCUCAAAAGAAAAAAAAAAAUAAAAACAGAAUGCAAGCCCCUUUAAAUUAUCAGGCCCAGGGAGGCAUUUGCAAUGUAACAGCAUUCUUGUCUCACUCUCUGUUGAACUAAAUAAUUACUCUUGAAGCCAUUUGUUAUAUAGUCUCUAGACUGACGCCAAGUAGCCAUACAAUGCCAUGCAUCCUGUAGUUCAACAGUGUAUAGCCAAUCACUAGCCAAUGUUAUUUCUGUAAACCAAUGAGAAUUCCUAAUGAACAAGUUUUUAAAUUGUCCCUUCUCCUGAUUCAUCCUAUUUUCUUCAAAAACUUGAGCCUCUCUCUGUUUUGUUCUCUGGAGCACUCAAGGCAACUUGGAAGUGUCCUGAAAUGCAAUCCUCAAGCUUAGCCCCCUCAAAAGUUACUUUUGCCUCAACUUCUUCCUUUUAGGUUGAUACUACCAUGAAAAAAAAUGUAAAGAAAUGGUUUUAAAUUGCAGCGUUAAGGGUUUAAGUCAUUAAGAAACGAUUUACCAUUAAAAAUUAUAUACACCCACACAUACACUCAUAUAUAUUGUUAAAAUAUGCCAUGAAGUCCAAAUUAUACACAAUACUUAAAUAAGUAACUAAUGAGCUGGGUGCAGUGGUGCACCCUUGUAAUCCCAGCUACUUGGGAAGCUGAAGCAAGAGGAUCACUUGAGCCCAGAAGUUCAAGACCAGCCUGAGCAAUAUAGCAAGACCCUCUCUUAAAAAAAAAAAAUUGUAUGUCAUACUACUUGCAAGUUCUCACGCCCAGUCACUGUAUCAGGGCUCCAUCAGGAAAAUAAAAUCAAUAGGAGACAUAUAUUAAGGGUUUUUUUGGCAAGGAGUUGACAUACAGUUGUGGCAGCUCCCUAGGUAAGUGUAAAAUCGGCAGAGCAAGCCAUCAGGAAAGGCAGGCUGGAACUCAGGCAUGAGCUGAAGCUGCAGUCUAAAGCAGAAUUUUGGCUGGACGCGGUUGCUCAUGCCUGUAAUCCCAGCACUUUGGGAGGCUGAGGCAGGAGCAUUACUUGAUCCCAGGAGUUCAAGGCUGCAGUGAGUUAACGAUCACAUCACUCCAUCCUGGGCAACAGUGAGACUCCAUCUCAAAAAAAAAGAGAAGGAACAGCAACUCAGAGCAGCCUAAGCUAUGUGAAGUAUGCAAAACUUGUUAGGCUUACAGAGACAUGACUUUUGAGACCUCAGUCAUCCCCCACCCACACCAACCCACACUGUAACUGCCCAGUGGAUUCACCUUCCCCACUGCCUAGACAGAGCUGAUUUAUCAAGACAGGGGAAUUGCAUGGAGAAAGAGUAAUUCACAUAGAACCGGCUGUGUGGGAGACAAGUAUUAUUACUCAAAUCAGUAUCCUUGAGCUUCAUCAGAGUUUUUAAAGACAAUUUGACAAGUAGGGACUUGGGAAGGGGGAAGUACUGAUUGGUCAGGUUGGGGAUGGAAUCAUAGGGGGUCGAAGUGAGUUUUUCUUGCUGUCUUCUGUUCCUGGGUGGGAUGGCAGAACUGGUUGAGCCAGAUUACUGAUCUGGGUCUGGGUGGUGUCAGCUGAUCCACCGAGUGCAGGGUCUGCAAAAUAUCUCAAGCACUGAUCUUAGGUUUUACAAAAGUGAUGUUAUCUCCAGGAGCAAUUUGAGGAGGUUCAGAGGAGCCAGAGGUUGCAUGGUUGCAUGACCCGUAAACUAAUUUCUAAUCUCUUUUUUUUGAGACGGAGUUUUGCUCUUGUUGCCCAGGCUGGAGUACAAUGGCACGAUUUCAGCUCUCCGCAACCUCCGGCUCCCGGGUUCAAGCGAUUCUCCUGCCUCGGCCUCCUGAGUAGUUGGGAUUACAGGUGCCCACCACCAAGCCCAGCUAAUUUUGUAUUUUUAGUAGAGAGGGGGUUUGUCCAUGUUUGUCAGGCUGGUCUCGAACUCCCAAACUCAGGUGAUCCGCCCACCUUGGCCUCCCAAAGUGCUGAUAUUACAGGUGUGAGCCACCUUGCCCGGCCCUGUAAUUUCUAAUCUCAUAGCUAAUUUGUUAGUCCUGCAAAGGCAGACUGGUCCCCAGGCAAGAAGGGGGUCUUUAUGGGAAAGGGCUGUUAUCAGUUUAUCAGUUUAUUUUAUUUGAUUUUUUGAGACAGAGUCUUUCUCUGUCACUCAGGCUAGAGUGCAGUGGUGUGAUCUUGGCUCACUGCAAUGUCCACCUCCUGGGUUCAGGUGAUUCUCCUGCCUCAGCCUCCUGAGCAGCUGGCAUUACAGGUGCCUGCCACCAUGCCCAGAUAAUUUUUGUAUUUUUAGUAGAGACAGGGUUUCACCAUGUUGGCCAGGCUAGUCUUGAACUCCUGACCUCAAAUAAUCUGCCUGCCUCAUCCUUCCAAAGUGCUGGGAUUACAGGCGUGAGCCACCGCGCCUGGCCAUGUCAUCAAUUUUGUUUCAUAGUCAAACCAUGAACUGAAUUCCUUCCCAAAGUUAGCUUGGCCUACGCGCAGGAACGAACAAGGACAGCUUAAAGGCUAGAAGCAAGAUGGAGUCAAUUAGGUCUGAUUUAUUUCACUGUCAUAAUUUCCUCAGGUAUAAUUUCAUCAGUUGUAAUUUUGCAAAGGCUGUUUCAAUACCCAGGGGCAACUGUUUAAAGACAUUUUAUUCUGUCCGGGUGUGGCGGCUUACGCCUAUGAUCCCAGCACUCUGGGAGGCAAGGCACAUGGAUCACUUGAGGCCAGGAGUUCUGAGACCAGCCUGACCAACAUGGUAAAACCCCAUCUCUACUAAAAAUACAAAAAUUAGCCGUUCCUGUAAUCCCAGCUACUCGGGCGGCUGAGGCAGGAGAAUCCGCUUGAACCAAGGAGGCGGAGCUUGCAGUGAGUCAAGAUCGCACCACUGCACUCCAGCCUGGGCAACAGAGUGAGGCUCUGUCAUCGCGACGCUCUGUCACAGCGAUGACAGAGUGAGGCUUGACACAGCGAUAUAUGUAUAUAUACAUGUAUAUAUGUAUAUAUAUCAUAUGUACAUAUGUGUAUCAUAUGUAUACAUAUAUAUGAUAAAGACAUUUUAUUCUUUCUUUCCCUGUAGUUGCCAGACUAGCUGAUAAAUUACCUAAAAUGUUGUUAAAGUUGCAGAGUAGGAGCCUCACCCAUUAUCUUCAUGUUCCUGGAAUUUGUUAUACAAGGAACAGUGUAUUGCCAAUCAAUAGCUUAUGUUAUUUGAAUGAACCAAUAUAAGAACUGCCCCACUUUUUAAAACCCACCUGAAUAUAUGCUGCUAAUCAGAGCAUAUAUUCAAGGCAACUUGAAUCUGUCUCUCCCAGGUUGCAGUCCUCAAAUUCGACCUAAAUAAACUCUACUUAUAUUAAUUUUUGCCUCACUUUCUUUAGGUUGACAGUCUUAUAUUUGUGGGAGUGAGUCAGUAUAAGCAUACAAGAUGUACAAACUAAUCCUAUUUUCCCCUCUUUUUUUUUGUUUGUUGUUGUGGCAGGGUCUUGCUCCAUAGCUCAGUCUGGAAUGCAGUGGUCCAAUCUUGGCUCAGUAUUCCCCCUCUGUUAAAAUACAUUUAAAAGGAACAGCCCUAACCUCACACUCCAUUCCAGCCUGGCUCUCUAACUUUCUGCCUCAUUCCACUGGCUAGUCCUUAAGACCCUGACCUAAUACUCUCUUUUUGAAGUCUCUGGCUCCAAUCUUAAGCACCAUAUUCUUUUGCCCAAAUCUGGAAUCCCAGGGCCUCUUGAAGGUUUCCCAAUACAUGUAAGGCCCACUCCUAGGCAUGCAUGCCUGCCUCUACUACGUAAGGAGUACUUCUGGAAGCCACCAGCUCUAGAGUUUCUGAAAAUGUCAACAAGACUGCCUUUGAAACCAGAGGGUGGGUGGUGGUGAGAACAUCCUGUGAAGGGUGCCAGCUGGUUUAUACCAGUCAGUGUGCCAAACUGCUCUUCUAAAGAUAAGAGGUGGUGCUGUUUUAAUUCCUUCAGUUUUAAGAUGCACUUUACUAUUACCCUUUUUAGUUUAGAAAGAAGAAAGUUGACGAAGAGGCAGGGCUAGCUCUGAAACCGAUAAUUAUGUUAAUCAAAAAUCCCACCCACCUCCAGAAAACCUUUUCACAGAGCUGCCAAAAGUGGUGAAUUGAUUGGUUUAAGCAGUAUGUUCUCUUCAUGCCACUUUCUUUUUUUUCUUUUUUUUUUCUUCCUGCCACUUUCAAGCUAAAAGAGUGAACAAAUAGUAAAAUAGCUACACUAAAUGGAGUUAAGAGGAGAAAAAAGGAAGGCCAGACUAUCUGACAAACCAGUGUCUGGGUCUUCUAUUUAAGAAUUAGAGGCCAGAAUUCCAGCACUUUAGGAGGCCAAGGUGGGUGGAUCACCUGAGGUCAGGAGUUCAAGGCCAGCCUGGCCAACAUGGUAAAAGCCUGUCUCUACUAAAAAUACAAAACUUAGCCUGGCAUGGUGGCAGGCACCUGUAAUCCUAGCUACUUGGGAGGCUGAGGCAGGAGAAUCACUUGAACCCUGGAGGCAGAGGUUGCAGUGAGCCAAGAUUGCGUCAUUGCACUCCAGCCUGGGCAACAAGAGAGAGACUCCGUCUCAAAAAAAUAAAUAAAAAAUAAGAAUUAGGACCAUACUUUUAUUUUAUUUUAUUAUUUUUUAGACAGGAACCACUCAGACUGCAUCCUUUCUUACUCUCCUGCAGGAAGAGAAUGAUCAUGAAGGGCAAAUGGCAGUGAAGCAAGAAGAGCUGGCUUCAGGCUCAGAAGAGAAUGCUGUGCCUCUUCCUCAUGGUUUGCGGUGCCCUGCAUGUUCAGAGAAACUUCUCUAGUAAUGAAUGAACUAUAGAAAUGAUCCCUGAAAAUAUGGUCUUGAUACUUUAUUUUUGUGGUGGUUUUUUUUGUUUUGUUCUGUUUUUGAUGGAAUUUUGCUCUUGUUGCCCAGGCUGGAGUGCAAUGGCACGAUCUCCACUCACUGCAACCUCCACCUCCCGGGUUCAAGCAAUUCUCCUGCCUCAGCCUCCCAAGUAGCUGGGAUUAUAGGCAUGUGCCACCAUGUCCAGCUAAUUUUGUAUUUUUAGUAGAGACGGUUUCUCCGUGUUGGUCAGGCUGGUCUAGAACUCCCUACCUCAGGUGAUCCACCCGCCUCGGCCUCCCAAAGUGCUGGGAUUACAGGGGUGAGCCACUGCGCCAGGUCAGGGCCAAAAGGAGCAGCUUGGGAUCCUUAUUCUGUGAAAAGAAGUUCACUUCUUUCUUAAUUCAGAUUUUGUGCUGGGCAAGGUGGGUCACGCCUUUAAUCCCAACACUUUGAGAGGCCAAGGUGGGCAGAUCACUUGAGGUCAGGAGUUCGAGAUCAGCCUGGCCAACAUGGUGAAAACCCGUCUCUACUAAAAAUACAAAAAUUAGCUGGGCAUGGUGGUGCACACCUGUAGUCCCAGCCACUCAGGAGGCUGAGGCACAGGAAUCCCUUGAACCCAGGAGGCAGAGGUUGCAGUGAGCUGAGAUUGUGCCACUGCACCCCAGCCUGGGCGACAGAGCAAGACUCCGUCUCAGACAAAAAAAAAAAAAUACAAAAAAAAAAAAAAACAAAGAUUUUUAAAUACCUAUUUGCCAAUUCAUAUGUAGUUGAUUUGGAGCAUGUACUACAAGAUUGGUUCUAAAUAUAUAUAAAUUAAGAGCUGAGAAAGUUAUUGCUAAGCUAAAUUCAACCAAUUACACUGUUUUUUUCUGCUCUCUCCUUGCACCUAUUUUAUUCUAAUUCUGUUUGUCAGGCUACUUACUUUUAUAAUCUUUUUUAGUGUGGAAACAGUAGAAAAAAGGUAGAGAAAAAUGAUAUCAUGAACACUUGUUUUUAAUUUGAAAAUUUUUUUUUAAAUAGAGACGAGGUCUCACUAUGUUGCUCAGGUUGAUCUCAAACUCUUGAGCUCAAGCGAUCCUCCCUCUUUGGCCACCCAAGGUGGCGGGAUUACAGAUAUGAGCCAUCACAGCAGGCCCAAAGCAGAUGUUUUAAUAAGCACUAUUACUCAAAGCUAGAUAUGUGAUUUUGAGCAAGGUAUUUUAUUUUCCUCUAAACUCCAAAUUACUCAUCAAGUGACAAUGUCUCUUGUUCAGGGGUUUUAUGAAAAUUAAGUAACAAUAAAAGUAAGAUAGCACAGUGUAGGCAUUCAGGAAUUAUAAGUUGAAGUUCCAACUCUUCCUCUACCUAUACCCCUUACUUUGUGAGAUUACAGGAAGGAUGACAAAAAAGGAUAUGUUGGGUUUUUUUUUGUUUUUUGUUUUUUGUUUUGAGACAGAGUUUCACUCUUGUUGCCCAGGCUGGAGUACAAUGGUGUGAUCUCAGCUCACUGCACCCUCCACCUCCCAGGUUCAAGUGAUUCUCCUGUCUCAGCCUCCCGAGUAGCUGGGAUUACAGGUGCAUGCCACCACACACAGCUAAUUUUUGUAUUUUUAGUAGAGUUUCAUCAUAUUGGUCAGACUGGUCUCGAACUCCUGACCUCAGGUGAUUCACCUGCCUCAGCCUCCCAAAGUGCUGGGAUUACAGGAAUGAGCCACCACGCCUGGCCUUUGUUGUUUUUUUGAGACAGAGUCUCCCUUUGUUGCCCAGGCUGGAUGGAGUGCAGUGGCACGAUCUCGGCUCCCUGCAACCUCCGCCUCCCAGGUUCAAGUGAUUCUCCUACCUCAGCCUCCUGAGUAGCUGGCAUUACAGGUGCGCUAUCACACCCAGCUCAUUUUUGUAUUUUUAGUAGAGACGAGGUUUCGCCAUGUUGGCCAGGCUGGUCUCAUACUCCUGACCUCAAGUGAUCCACCCACCUCGGCCUCCCAAAGUGCUGGGAUUACAGGUGUGAGUCACCGCGCCCAGCCCCAAAAAGGAUAUGUUUGCUGAGCCCUUUAAUUGUUGAAAAUGAACCUUGAAAAAAAGAAAAAUUAAUGAUAGGACUAGGAAUGUACACCAUCCAGGAGGUAGAAUUAAGAAAGUUUAAAUGCAAUAUGUGAAAACUAUACGCAGGCUGGGCGCAGUGGCUCACGCCUGUAAUCAUAACACUUAGGGAGGCCGAGGCUGAUGGAUCACUUGAGCUCAGGAGUUUGAGACCAGCCCGAGCAACAUAGUGAAACCCCAUCUCUACAAAAAAAAUACAAAAAUUAGCAGGGCAUGGUGGCUUAUGCCUUUACUCCCAGCUACUUGGGGGAUGAGGCAGGAGGAUUGCUUGAGCCCAGGAGGCGGAGGUUGCAGUGAGCCCAGAUCUCUCCACUGCACUCCAGUCUGGGCGACAGAGUCAGAUCCUGUCUCAAAACAAAAAAGAAGAAAAUUAUAGGCAAAGAAAUGUAGAUUUCUUUUAUUUAAUAUUUAAAAGAGAGUUGUUGUGAAGUUGAUAUGAAUUUAUGUGAAAUAAGACUACCAAGGCUGGGCGCUUGGCUCAUGCCUGUAAUCCCAGCACUUUGGGAGGCCAAGGUGGGAGGAUCACCUGUGGUCAGGGGUUCGAGACUAGCCUGGCCAACAUGGCGAAACCUUGUCUCUACUAAAAAUACAAAAAUUAACUGGGUGUGGUAGCGCACCUGUAAUGCCAGCUACUCAGGAGGCUGAGGCAGAAGAAUCGCUUGAAACUGGGCAGUGGAGGUUGCAGUGAACUGAGAUUGCACCACUGCACUCCAGCCUGGGCAACAGAGCAAAACUCCAUCUCAAAAAAAAAAAAAAAAAAAAAAGACUACCAGACUGAUGUGGUAUUUUUAGGAUUUUUUUUUCUUUUUUUUUUUUUUUUGAGAUGGCCCGACCUCUUCUUUUUUAUCAUAUGAUCUCUAACUGAUGUAUGUGACACAAUAAUACAAAACUAUUUGAGCUAUAAAAGAAAUAUGAAAGGCUUCUGUUUUCUUUUGUAGGCCUUCUGGAACUUUUGCCUCAGACUCAAAUACCAAUGACUCCUAAUCAUACCAAUAUCCCUACUCAUUGCCUACUUAUUUCUGGAUUUACAUAUUAUUUGACUCUCUCAUCUCAUAUCCUAGAGAAGUAUUUAGUAAGAGUUGGAUCUGGCCAGGUAGGGUGGCUAACGCCUGUAAUCCUAGCACUUUGGGAGGCUGAGGUGGGUGGAUCACCUAAGGACAGGAGUUGGAGAGCAGCCUGGCCAACAUGGUGUAACCCCAUCUCUACUAAAAAUACAAAGAUUAGCUGGGUGUGGUGGUGGGCACCUGUAAUCCCAGCUACUUGGGAGGCUGAGGCAGGACAAUUGCUUGAACCCUGGGGGCGGAGUUUGCAGUGAGCCAAGAUCGUGCCACUGCACUCCAGCCUGGGCGACAGAGUGAGACUCCGUCACAAAAAAAAAAAAAAAAAAAAAAAAAGUUGGAUUUAAUUUUCUAAGCAUUAGGUUAAAAUUUUUUUGCUAGAUAACAUGGUGUCCUAAGAUAAGCCAAGCAUUAUAAAGAUGGCUCUGAUGAUUGCCAGGAACGUAUUAUGUAUGCAGUAAUAAUAACACAUUGCAACAAAGCCAUGUUUUCUCCCAUUUUUAAAAACAUGUUUUGAUGAUGAAGGAUAUAAAAUACAGAGUCACAGUGAAAGCCUGCAGCUUGAGUACGUUUGUAAUCAGAUGAUUACAGAUGAUUGCUAUGAGGCUAAUGAAGUGAAAUUUACUCCUAGGUUUGAGAGUAGAUCAUAAAAGGAACAUUAAGGAGAUUAUAGUCUCAAUCAUGAACAUAUUCACCUAAUUAACAUUUUCCUACCUUUGAAUUUAAAUAUCAAAAGUAGAUACGUGAUAGUUGUUGAUUUGUAAUACAAAAUUUACUACUUUUGAUAGUCAUUUCUCACUUAAGCUUGUAGCAUGUAAUAAUUUUUUUUCCCACAAAUCUUUUCCUACAUUAAAAAAAUAUACAUAAAAAACUUGGCUGGGCGUGGUGGCUCUCGCCUGUAAUCCCAGCACUUUGGGAGGCCGAGGUGGGCAGAUCACUUGAGGUCAUGAGUUCGAGACUGGCCUGGCCAACAUGGCUAAACCCCAUCUCUACUAAAAAUACAAAAAUUAGCCAGGCGUGGUGCCACAUGCCUGUAGUACUAGCUACUCAGAAGGCUGAGGCAGGCUGAGAAGGCUGAGGCAGGCUGCAGUGAGCCAAGAUCGUGCCACUGCACUCCAGCCUAGGCAACAGGGCGAGACUCCGUCUUAAGGAAAAAAACAAAAAACUUAUUUGGGUUGGGCACAGUGGCUCACGCCUAUAAUCCCAGCACGUUGGGAGGCCAUGGUGGGUGGAUCACUUGAGGUCAGGAGUUUGAGACCAUCCUGGGCAAAAUGGUGAAACCCAGUCUCAACAAAAAAUACAAAAAACUAGCUAGGUGUGGUGGCGCUUGCCUGUAGUCCCAGCUACUGGGGAAGCUGAGGCAUGAUCACUUGAGCCUAGGAGGCAGAAGCUGCAGUGAGCAGAGAUUGCAGGAUUACACCACUGCACUCCAGCCUGGGCAACAGAGUGAAACUCUGUCUCUAAAACAAACAAACAAACAAAAAAACCUUAUUUGACUACUUCUUGAAGCAAAAUGCGCAGUGAAAAGAAAACUGUUUCUUUCAAAAAACAAAAUCAUAAAUAUAUACCUAGUAUAAGCGGGAUAAAUUAUACCCUUUGUCCUCAGCCCCUGCGAGAAUGCUCAGGGCAGAAGAUAAAUCUCCCUCUUUCCCCAUACAGAUGCCUUAACUACCUAUUUGAUCAGCUAAGAUAAGGAAAAGCAAGGAUUUCAAAGCCUUGCUGGGUCCUUGAGUAUUAGAUGAUAGCCCUGCAGGUAGAAGACUCUGUAACAUGAAACUAUCAUUAUGGUUCUCAUUCCUUAUGUGCAAGUAGGCCUCUGGGCGUGAUUAGGAAAUUGGAGGAUAAAAAAUGAGGAACAGAAACCACUCUGCACAAAUAACAUAAAGUACUACAUUACAUGGAAUGUGUUUUAUUUAGAAAAAUAUUUCUCUUUAACGUGAUUCACUCAAGAGAUGUUAUUCAUCACCUAUUAUGCGCCAGGUAUAUUCUGAGUCCUGGAGAGACAACAUUUAACAAAGUCCCUGUCCUCAUGUAGUUUAUUUUCUCGUGGGCAAACAGACAAUAUCUAUUAUUUUUAUUAAAAACAAUGUAAGGUAAUUUCAGCCAAUGAUAAGUAUGCUGCCGGGUGAGAUAUUCAAAAUAUUUAACACAGGUAUGGCCAGCUUGGUGUCACAUCUUCAUGUUCUCUCUUGUAUUUGCUGUCUCCCUUCCUGCCUCACUUCCCUUUCCUGCUCACUCCAACUUCCUUGACAUUGAACUUCCCAAAAAAGUGUUAGUAUAUAAGCUUUAGUUUGUGAUUGUGUUCCCAUAUACUCCCCAUCUUACCCCCACAUCACCCCCAAUUAGAACAUAGGCCAACCUUAGCCUUCUUGUGACAAGUGUUAUACUUUUAGUUGCUGGAUCUUGGGAAGGUCUAGGAGAUGCUGGGAUAGCAAGAUCAGGGGAUGUCUUGGGAAACACCACACCAUCCUCUAAUUCUCCUCCAUCCCAGUUCUCUUUCAGUCCCUUUGAUUCUCCUGAAUGUAAGUGUCCCAAAGUCCACAAAAACUUCUGUGUUCCCUCUUUUAGUGGCUUCACCAUCCCAGUCAACCACACUAAAAGACUUAACAUCACUUUUGACGCUCAACCUAAUCCUCUGCGCUUAGUCACACAUUCAUAGCACUGUGUGGGGAAGAAAAAGCGUUUUCAUGCACUCUUGCUCUCCCUCUGGAUAACACCCUAAUUCAGCCUGUCAUGAUUUAUUUGGAUUUUGCAAUAGCUUGAAACCAACUUUGCAUGCCUCCAUUUUCCACCUCUUCCAGCCCUUUGUAUUAAUAGCACCAAUGUUUUAGUGCCUUAAAAUAUCCGGCGGAUCACUUGAUGUCAGGAGUUCAAGACCAGCCUGGCUAACAUGGUAAAACCCCGCCUCUACUAAAAAUAAAAAAAUUAGCUGAGUGUGGUGGCGUGCGCCUGUAGUCCAAGUUACUCAGGAAGCUGAGGCAGGAGAAUCGCUUGAACCCGGGAGGCGGAGGUUGCAGUGAGCCGAGAUCACGCUAGUGCACUCCAGCCUGGAUAACAAAAGUAAGAAGACUCUGUCUCAAAAAAUAAAUAAAUAAAUAAUAAAUAAAUAAAAAGACAAAAUCCUUAACUCUCCUACAAUGAACUUUUGGUUUAAAUAGUGGAGUACCAUAAGAGCUUCUCACUUCUUUCUCCCAUUUUAUUUUUUCUUUUCUUUUCUUUUCUUUUUAGAUGGAGUCUCACUCAAUCACCCAGGCUGGAGUGCAGGGGCAUGAUCUUGGCUCGCUGCAGCCUCCCUCUCGGAUUCAAGCAAUUCUUUCACCUCAGCCUCCCGAGUAGUAGAAAUAGGGUUUCACUGUGUUGGCCAGGCUGGUCUCGAACUCCUGACCUCAAGUGAUCUGCCCAACUCAGCCUCCCAAAGUGCUGGGAUUACAGGUGUAAGCCACUGUACCCGGCUUUUCUCCCAUUUUCUUAUUUAUGUAUUUAUUUUAAAUUAUUUUUCAUUUUUGUGAGAUGGAGUCUCGCUCUUUCGCCAGGCUGGAGUGUAGUGGCGCGAUCUCAGCUCACUGCAGCCUCCGCCUCCCGGGUUCAAGCAAUUCUUCUGCCUCAGCCUCCUGAGUGGCUGGGACUACAGGCAAGUACCACCAGGCACAGCUAAUUUUUGUAUUUUUAGUAGAGAUGCGGUUUUACCAUGUUGGCCAGGAUGGUCCCGAUCUCUUGACCUCGUGAUCUGCCUGCCUCGGCCUCCCAAAGUGCUGGGAUUACAGGUGUGAGCCAUCGCACCCAGCCUUUAUUUAUUUAUUUAUUUAUUUUUGAGAUGGAGUCUCAUUCUGUCGCCCAGGCUGGAGUAUAAUGGUGCAAUCUUGGUUCACUGCAACCUCUGCUUCCCAGGUUCAAGCGAUUCUCCUGCCUCAGUCUUCUGAGUAGCUGGGAUUACAGGUGUCCACCACUAUGCCCAGCUAAUUUUUGUACUUUUAGUAGAGACAGGAUUUCAUCAUGUUGGCCAGGCUGGUCUCAAACUCCUGACCUUGUGAUCUGCCCACCUGGGCUUCCCAAAGUGCUGAGAACACAGGUGUGAGCCACUGCACCCGGCCUUUUCUCCCAUUUUCUAAGGUGACCAUAAAAAAUUUUCUUUUCUUUUUUCUUUUGAGACAGGGUCUUGCUGUGUUGCCCAGGCUGGAGUUCAGUGGCGCAAUCUGGGCUCACUGCACACUCCACCUUUGGGGCUCAAGCGAUCCUCCCACCUUACCUCUCAAGUAGCUGGGACUACAGGUAUGCAACACCACGCCCAGCUAUUUUUUCGUAUUUUUAGUAGAGGCGGGGUUUCACCAUGUUGGCCAGGCUGGUCUCAAUCUCCUGACCUCGUGAUCCGCCUGCCUUGGCCUCCCAAAGUGCUGGGAUUACAGGCGUGAGCCACUGCACCCAGCCUGUAUUAUGUCUUUUUAAAAAUUUAAACAUGUAUUACCUUGGGAAAAAAUUAAUAUUAAUAAGAAGAAACCUUUAGACUGUACUUUCAGGGAUCAUUUCUGUAAUUCGUUACUAGAGAAAUUUCUCUGAAUGUGUAGAGCAGUUAAUUUUUUUUAUUAUUUUAAAUAAAAUUAAAAAAAAAAAAACUGGCCAGGUGCAGUGGCUCAUGCCUGUAAUCCCAGCACUUUGGGAGGCCAAGGCAGGCAGAUCACGAGGUCAAGAGAUCAAGACCAUCCUGGCCAACAUGGUGAAACCCCGUCUCUACUAAAAAUACAAAAAUUAACUGGGCGUGGUGGCUCAGGCCUGUAGUCCCAGCUACUCGGGAGGCUGAAGCAGGAGAAUCACCUGAACCCGGGAGGUAGAGGUUGCAGUGAGCCGAGAUUGCACCACUGCACUCCAGCCUGGUGACAGAGCGAGACUCCAUCUCAAAAAAAAAAAAAAGAAACUUUCUAGCUUCCCUGUUCCCUUUUGCCUACAUGACAAGGCUUAAAUCGCCACAUCGCGCUCUUUUAAAUAGGGCCUCAGCCUGCCUUCUGAGCUCAUCUGACAGCCUUCUCCCCAGCUUCGCCCAUGCCAGUCACACAUUUCUUUAAGGAAAUAUAUUGAGCACCUACGGUAUGCUAGUGGGUAUAGAAACAUGAAUAAGACAUCCUUAGUUCCUCAAUGAAUUAUCUAAUGGCAGAAACAGAUGCAUAAAAAGUAAAUACACUUCAGGGGAUUCGAUGCUGAAAUAAAAGCAAAGACAAUGGCCUCUUCUAUGGAAAGGCAAAAAGCAACACUUUGCCCCAGUUUGUCUGUCAUUUCUGGCUCCAUGCCCUUGAUAAUGCUGGUUUGUUUGGUUGAGGUUUUGUGUGUGGGUGGCUGUACAGAAGGACAACAUGACAUUUUCUCUUACCAGUCCUGCCCUCUCCCGCCCGCAAGAAACAAAGGCUUUUUCUUCCUUGCUCACCAAUCAGUUUGUCCAUUAUGCUGUGAUUCUAUUUCAGUCAGGAUGCGUUAUAAGACAGUAAUUAAGAAGGCCAGGCCAGGCACAGUGGCUUACGCCUGUAAUCCCAGCACUCUGGGAGACUGAGAUGGGUGGAUCACCUGAGGUCAGGAGUUCGAGACCAACCUGGCCAACAUGGUGAAACCCCGUCUCUACUAAGAAUACAAAAAUUAGCUGGCCGUGGUGGUGGGUGCCUAUAAUCCCAGCUAGUUGGGAGGCUGAGGCAGGAGAAUUGCUUGAACCCGGGAGGUGGAGAUUGCAGUGAGCCGAGAUUGUGCCACUGCACUCCAGCCUAGGCAAUACAGUGAGACUCUGUCUCAAAAAAAAAAAAAAAAAAAAAAAGGUAAUUCAAGAAUAUUUAAUGGAGACUUUGGGACCUGAACGGGGGUUAAAGGAUGGAUAACAGCCAGAUGGCAGGAGUGGCCAGUGCAAAAAAUUUAUCUCUGGGAAAGAGCACAUGCAUGGGGACUAGUGAAGCAGUCAGCCUGGCUGCAGAGAAGGUGUUGCUAGUUAAUGGGAGAUAAGGUUGGUACAUGGGAUAAAGUUAUGGGCAUGAACACAGGCACAGGUGUUUAUAUCUGAAGUAAACAGGGACUCUGUAGGCUCUUGAGCAAAAAUAACAUGAUAAAAUCAAUACUUGAACAUUAGUGUGAAAGUUAGCAGGAUGCAAAAUGAAUUCCUGGUGUGCCUCCUUCCCAAACUCUCCACACUGGAUUAGCCCCCACACUUGGCAUGGAGCUAAAUGAAGACUAUCCCUCGAAGUUUUAGCAACGAAAGGGAAAAAAGAGUCAAUGGCUGCCUAUAAAGAGCAGCAGGGUUAAACAAAGAUAAAUUUGAAAAGAAGAGCAGAUUUGGAAGAAAACAGCAAUAUUCAGUUUUUAAUUCACCAAAUAUUUACUGAGCCUUUAGUACAUGCAAAACACUGCUAAGUACUGUGCCGAAUAUACAGUUCCUCUUUUCAAGGAGAGAGUAAUACAGGUACACAGCUCCCUAUCAUGGAAUGCAAGAAUGCUGGGAGAAUAGGAAUGAAGAAGAGAGUAUUCUAGACAAGUGGCUCUCAAACUUUUUGGUCUCAGGACCCCUCAAUACUCUUAAAAAUUAUUGAAGGCCUCAAAGAGCUUUUGUUUAUGUGGGUUUUGUCUAUCUAUCAAUAUUUUCAAUAUUAGAAAUUAAAACAAAAAUCUGGCCGGGCGCGGUGGCUCAUGCCUGUAAUCCCAGCACUUUGGGAGGCCAAGGCAGGCAGAUCAUGAGGUCAAGAGAUCGAGACUAUCCUGGCCAACAUGGUGAAACCCUGUUUCUACUAAAAAUACAAAAAUUAGCCGGGCAUGGUGGCACGCGCCUAUGGUCCCAGCUACUUGGGAGGCUGAGGCAGGAGAAUCGCUUGAACCCAUGAGGUGGAGGUUGCAGUGAGCCGAGAUUGAGCCACUGCACUCCAGCCUGAGCAACAGACCAAGACUCUGACUCAAAAAAAAAAAAAAACCCAAAGUCUAAAAAGAUGUAUUUACCCAUUUUUGAGUAGCGAUAUUAAACCCAUUACAUGUUAUCAUAAACAUUUUAAGAAAAAUAUAUUUUCUAAAACAAAGAAAAAUAGGUACAACAAAGAGUUAUUCUGUUUAAUGUAUUUGCAGAUCUCCUUACUGUCUGGCAUAUAGAAGAAACCUGGAUUCUCAUAUCUGACUCUGCCUUCAAACUAUUGUGAUUUUUUUUUUAAGUAUUUGAAGCAAACCUGUCCUCAUACAGACAUGGAGUAGGAAAAGGGAGGAAUUUUCAGACCCCUUGAAAGAGUAUUAGGGACCCCCAGGAGUCUUUGGUUCACAUUUUGAGAACCCCUUUUUUAAACUAUAAUUAGUUAUAUAAUCCUCCAGUAGGAUUUAUUUGUCAAAAAAACUCCCUGCAUUCCCAACACUAAUGAGAGCUAAUAGAAUGGGAAUGACACUUGUCAGUUUUUUUGUUUGUUUUUUUGCCCAGGCUGGAGUGCAAUGGCGCGAUCUCGGCUCAAGAGAUUCUCCUGCCUCAGCCUCACGAGUAGCUGAGAUUACAGGCGCAUGCCAUCACACCCGGCUAAUUUUUGUAUUUUUUGUAGAGAUGGAGUUUCACCGUGUUGCCCAGGCUAGUCUCAAACUCCUGAGCUCAAGUGAUCUACCUGCCUCGAUCUCCCAAAAUGCUGGGAUUACAGGUGUGAACCACCGCGCCUGGCCUAAAUUGUUUUUUUGUAAUCUAAAAAGAGGAAACUAAAUUUUACUAAUUGUUGUGCCAAACCCCUAUUAACCUCUGUAAGGAAGGCACCAGGUUCAAGAGGCCAAAGGAGAGACCCAGAACCAGCAAAUAAGACCUGGGGUUUUAUUAGGGGAUUACAUACAUGGAAGAGAAUCCAGUGGCAGCAGGCUGGAAAGGGGAAUUGCCUUAAUUAGAGAAAUGGUCCAGUGGCAGUGGGAUGGACAAGAUAUCUGUCUUACCUACAAUCCAAUGGUGGCAGGUUGGACAACAUGACCCCCUGCCUAUAGUCCGGGGCUGGUGCACUGGACAUCACAGCCACAUGGCCCAGUGACGACUGGCUGCGCAGAAAAACCACAAUCAUUUGCAAAUAGUAUGCAAUUAAUAUAGCAUUUUCACCUAACACCCUCCCUCUAACAACCUCCACUUGGCAAGCUGCAUCCAACCCAAAACUCAGGGCCUAAAUCCCCUGUAUGGCCCCUGGUCCACUGUGUUAUGGGAUCCUUGGGGGUGUUGCUUUUCCAGCCGGAAACCUCUGUGGCCAGUGGCGCCUUUGCCUGAGUUUUGCUCAGGCCCAUUGGGCCGAAUCAGCCUGUCAGGCUGUGCUCAGCUCAUGCUACCUGCCAAGAUCCCACACCUUCUGAGAUGAGUGGAGUGGAGUGGUGACAGGUGUGUGAGCAAGUGAGCACGGGGUCCAGCCACUGCAAACAGCCAGGCACAUCGGCUGCAGUAGGGCAGGCAGCUCCAGGCACCACCACGGGCACUGGCUCCCUGCGAAGCUGCAGCUGAACCAGGUGUACCACAAGUAGCUUCCACAGCUGGCACUGGGGAACGUGGUGCUGCCCAGAAGCUUGGAGAUGCCAGGAAAUGCAGUGUCAAAGAGUAUGUCACAGCCUUGGCUUGGGGAGCUUCUAGGUCUGAGCUCAUCAAAGGGCCACAGCUCUUCUCUCCUUGUCUCCUGCAAUGUGGCAAGCAAGGGGUGUGUUUCAGCCCUGUUUGUGUUACAGCUCUUUUAGACCCGCCAUGCGGCAGGUCCUGAGUUCUCGUCCUGUGUCCAGAAAGAAUGAGGUACGUGGACAAGUGGAGGGUGAGCAAGGCGAAGAAGAGCUUUACUGAGCAACAGAACAGCUCAGAGACCCACAGUGGGUAGCUCCUCUUUGAAGGGAGGGUGUCCCAUCAAGUGUUCGGCUCUCAGCAGAGAGGAGACCCUGGGGUGGGUAGCUCCUCUCCAUAGCUGGUCAUCCUGUCAUCUCCCUGAGUCUGGCUGAGUCAGGUUUUUAUCAGCAAGGAAGUGCUUGCUGAUUGGUCCACAGGCAGCCAUGGGCGGGCCCAGAAAAAAGCACAAAUUCCCACUCUGGUCUGCAGGGCUGGCAGCCUGGUCCCCAGGCUUCACGCCUUCCCCAGCUUGAAGGCGGGGCUUCACCAGGGACCUUCCCCUUUCCACCCAGGAGCCUGCCUGCCUCCUGCCACUGUUCAUGGUGCCCAGGCUGCUCUUGCAGAGUGGUGCCUGCAGCCCAGCACUGAGCUGCCCUCAGACCCCACUCAGCCUCCCUCCCAUGCUUGUUUGUGCCCAAAGCCCGGAGAGGGUCAAGGCGGCAGGGGGCUGGCAUGUCAGCACUGCCCCAAGAAUGAGCACACCUGGCUGGAUUGCAACAGCACCUUGGCUUGGCCUCAACUUUGCACCAAGAUCUGAUUGGGCUCCAGGAGUAAGGAGAGGCUAGGCAGCGGGAGCAGGCAUUUCCGACCCUGCAGCUGCAGCUUGGGCGGCUGCAGGUGCAUCCAGGAGGGUGGGGAUCCUGCCUGCUCCAUGGAAUACACAGCCCCAGCCGCGCCUCCCGGCUGCAGCCAGCAUUGUCAGAGAGGCUGCUCCAGAUGGGCUGCCACUGCCAUGAACAGGGCAGGACAGGGGUUCAGAUGUUCAUCAUUGAUAAGGAAAAAAUGUCCAGGUUGGCCACUCCCAGAUUCCCUAGCUUAGAACACACAUUCAGAUGCAUCUGCCAUACAGGGUCAUUCUCAGGGUAGGCUUCACUUAUUGCUCUCAGGUGUGUUUAUGCUACACUAAGAUUAGUGUGUAGGUUGACAUUUGCAUCUUCACCAGUCUGAAGGCCUGAUGGUCACAUCAGGUAGGGAGUAUCAGGGACAAGAGCAUGAAUUCCCUAAGUGUCACUCUCACUUGUUUGUUCAUUUUCAGCUGACACAUUGUACAAUGGUUAAGUAAAAGAUUUCCCAAUUAUAAUAUUUAGCCUUAAGUAACUUCAAAAAAUGGGUGUUGGUUCCCUGCCCAGAUUCUACUUACUGGUCAUGGUCCCCAUUCCCUACAUGCUGUGACUCUUGGCUGCUACCAGUUCAUACCUGUAUCUUUCUGUGAAGAACUGACCAUAAAUGAUGGAUGCUACCUAAUCAGGAACAUCACACUCUGCCACCACCCUCCUGCACUAACUCCAGGCGGCCCAUAGCCCACGACUGAAUAAUACAGGAAUACUAAAGCUUGCUUCCUUGCCUCAAGAAGAGACAAGUCCAUGGUGCCAUCCACACUCCAGAGCUGCUCAUGGGAUCAAAAUGAAGAUAGAUUUCAACUGAACCCAUGUCUUUGCCUAGCUUCUUCCUCUGUCCUAUUCUGUUUCUCUCACUCCCUUACAGGUUUCAGCUGACAUCACUCUCUCAAAAGAAUCGCUGGCACAGGAAUCUUCAUCUCAAGUUCUGCUUCUUGAGAACAUAGCCUGAAACAAGCGUAUGAUUUUAAAACAAUCAUGCAAAGAGGACAAGGAUUGAAAAGAUCAAUAAUGAAGAUAAAAGCAACAACAACAAAAUGGCAGAACUAGUUCUUUUCCUACUUCUGGUAUAAUUUCUUCUUAGCCAAAAUAUGUGAUAAAAAUGACAGUUUAAUAAAACCUAACAAGAUGUCAGUUAAAAGAGAACUACAAAGAGGACUAUUUGAAAAAAAAAUUCUAUCCACUUUCUUUUUUUUUUUUUUUCGAAAUGGAGUCUUGCUCUGUCACCCGGCCUGGGCAACAGAGUGAGACCUUGUCUCAAGAAAAUUUUUAAAAAGGCAGUAUCUUCUGAUAUUAAGGAAGAUGGGUAUUUCUAGUGGAAUUUCAAUAAAAAUUUUUCUAUAAAUAGGGUAUAGGACUAAAAAAUGAGUAUCCUGAUUUUUUACUACUUCUUUGAAUCUUGGCAUCUUUUUCAAUUAUGUUUCUCAUCUAUGAUAGAUAUUAAAACCAAUAAUUAAGAUAAAUUGAAUGUAAACCCAUACCUCCUCAGCAGAUCUGUAGAACUUAUGUAAAAAAAUAAAAAUACAAAAUAAAUAAAACCAGACCUUCAAGCAUCUUUAUUUCCAUGAUAUUAAACCAAGAUUAAAAAAAAAAAAUCUAACGGUGGCCGGCACAGUGGCUCACACCUGAAAUCUCAGUGCUUGGGAGGUUGAGGCAGGAGGGUCACUUGAGGCCAUUGGAGUUCAAGGUUGCAGUGAGCUAUGAUAAUGCCACUGCAUUCCAGCCUGGGUGACAGAGUGAGACAUUGUUUCUUAAGUAAAUAACUUUAAUGAUUACUAUUUAUAAUUGUAGCAAAAUAUUUA